AGCAGAUGAUGCAAACGAAUAUUUGCUAUCUGAAAAAGAGCGGUGACGACGAUUUUAUCCACCAAGAUCGCUGAUGCU
rnacentral:snoRNA from 1 species